AUAUUUAUUUGAUAAAGGAGACAUCAUGAUCAUAGAGGUAGUUUUCCCUGGGCAAGGCUUGUCUAUUGUCCUUUGGACGUGCUGACCCCUACUAUUUCCCCAAAUGCAGGAAAUUAGACUGCAUAAUUUGUGGUAGUGGGGGACUGUGUUCGCACCCUCCCCUG